rnacentral:rRNA from 1 species
UACGAAGGGGGCUAGCGUUGCUCGGAAUCACUGGGCGUAAAGGGCGCGUAGGCGGCCAUUCAAGUCAGAGGUGAAAGCCCAAGGCUCAACCUUGGAACUGCCUUUGAUACUGUUUGGCUUGAGACCGGUAGAGGUAAGUGGAACUGCGAGUGUAGAGGUGAAAUUCGUAGAUAUUCGCAAGAACACCAGUGGCGAAGGCGGCUUAUUGGACCGGUUCUGACGCUGAGGCGCGAAAGCGUGGGGAGCAAACAGG